UGAGGAAUAUUGGUCAAUGGAGGAAACUCUGAACCAGCCAAGUCGCGUGAAGGAUGACGGUCCUAUGGAUUGUAAACUUCUUUAGUAGGCGAGUAAGGAUAGGUACGUGUACCUAUUAGAAAGUAGCCUAAGAAUAAGUAUCGGCUAACUCCGUGCCAGCAGCCGCGGUAAUACGGAGGAUACGAGCGUUAUCCGGAUUUAUUGGGUUUAAAGGGUGCGUAGGUGGCUGAUUAAGUCAGUGGUGAAAAGCUAUGGCUCAACCAUAGUCUUGCCGUUGAUACUGGUUAGCUUGAGUGUAGAUGAUGUAGGCGGAACGUGUAGUGUAGCGGUGAAAUGCAUAGAUAUUACGCAGAACUCCGAUUGCGAAGGCAGCUUACACUACUACUACUGACACUGAGGCACGAAAGCGUGGGUAUCAAACAGG
rnacentral:rRNA from 1 species